UACGUAGGGAGCAAGCGUUGUCCGGAAUCAUUGGGCGUAAAGAGCUCGUAGGCGGCUUGGUAAGUCGGAUGUGAAACCUCCAGGCUCAACCUGGAGUCGCCAUCCGAUACUGCCAUAGCUAGAGUCCGGUAGGGGCCCACGGAACUCCUGGUGUAGCGGUGAAAUGCGCAGAUAUCAGGAAGAACACCGGUGGCGAAGGCGGCUCACUGGACCGAGACUGACGCUGAGGCGCGAAAGCGUGGGGAGCAAACAGG
rnacentral:rRNA from 1 species